AGGAGGCGGGGCGCCUGUGGGAGCCGUGGAGGGAACUUUCCCAGUCCCCGAGGCGGAUCCGGUGUUGCAUCCUUGGAGCGAGCUGAGAGCUCGAGAGACGGGGAUUUAGCUAUGUUGCCCAAGCUGGUCUGGAACUCCGGAGCUCAAGCAGUCCGCCCGCCUUGGCCCCCCAAAGCGCUGGAAUUACAGGCGUAAUGCACUGUGCCUGGCCUUUAAAAAAAAAUUGAGAACCUGCUAAGGCCAUCAAACCUAUUGAUCGGAAGUCAGUCCAUCAGAUUUGCUCUGGGCCGGUGGUACCGAGUCUAAGCACUGCGGUGAAGGAGUUAGUAGAAAACAGUCUGGAUGCUGGUGCCACUAAUAUUGAUCUAAAGCUUAAGGACUAUGGAGUGGAUCUCAUUGAAGUUUCAGGCAAUGGAUGUGGGGUAGAAGAAGAAAACUUCGAAGGCUUAACUCUGAAACAUCACACAUCUAAGAUUCAAGAGUUUGCCGACCUACCUCAGGUUGAAACUUUUGGCUUUCGGGGGGAAGCUCUGAGCUCACUUUGUGCACUGAGGUGAUAAAAUAUUUUUAUCCAUUCACUUGACCCCUUAGAAAAACCUCUCUGAAAAUUAAUUGGAAUCAUUAUUAUUUACAGUUUUCUGUCUCAAUAUCUCAGCUUCCAGCUUCUGAAUUCUGUUUUGUCUCACUGCCAAUCUAAGUCCUAGUACUUCUGAAAUGUGAGCAAUAAAUGAAUGAAAUGAA
rnacentral:lncRNA from 1 species